rnacentral:rRNA from 1 species
GUGUCAGCAGCCGCGGUAAUACGUAGGGGGCAAGCGUUGUCCGGAAUUAUUGGGCGUAAAGAGCGUGUAGGCGGCCCGACAAGUCCGCCGUGAAAGUCCAGGGCUCAACCCUGGAAUGCCGGUGGAAACUGUCGGGCUUGAGUUCGGAAGAGGCGAGUGGAAUUCCUGGUGUAGCGGUGAAAUGCGCAGAUAUCAGGAGGAACACCAAUGGCGAAGGCAGCUCGCUGGGACGACACUGACGCUGAGACGCGAAAGCGUGGGGAGCAAACAGGAUUAGAAACCCCAGUAGUCC